CCCCCAGGCGCCCCACUGUAGCACAUGAUUAAGUCGUGUGGACCGGUCACUGCAAACUGUCAUCCCGUAGGGCAGUUAUCACUUGUGAAAACCUUUGUAAAAACUAAACGAGUCGCCAGUGCGUACAAACGGGGGAUUGCAUAUGAAAAUCUGGAUUUCCAGCUUUUCUGGAAAAUAUCAGAAGCUCUAGGGGCUCUGGCCCCGCACUCCCUUUCAGUAACAAAGCUGGGAUGCGCCCCUGUUAGUUGGGGCUUGUGUUCUCACUUUGCUGCCGUCCCCACCACCCUCUCUCACCCGACACUGAACCUGCCUAUUGUCACUCUUCCAUCAGUGUUUCUCUUUUCGCAAAAAUAAGAGGAAAGUGAACACGUUCCCUUGGGGCAAAGACUGCCAUUUGCCACCCAAAUGUCCAGUCACCACGUCUUUCUUACUAACAGAAACUCCCACACUAUUCGGGGUGAUGAUAUAUUCAAAAAUCACAUUUCCCAGCUUUGAUGUUCCUCAAUCAGGGCCGAUUUGGGGCGGUCACAACUGGGGAGGGGAACACUACUGACAUCUAGUGGGGAGAGGCGGGGACGCGGCACAGGCCUGUGCCCAGAAUGGAGAAUUCUUCAAUCCAACCGGACAGGUCCCUGGGGGGGAGUGGCCGGUGCCUUGUAAGUAAGAUGACAGUGGGGCUUCCGAGAAAGGCCUCUGGUGUCCUGCCAUUCUUCCUCAUCUUCCCGCUCAUGCAAGCAUAGCUGGAGCUGAAGCAGCCGAUCUGUCACCUCAAGGAGGGAAGUUCUGUGCUAACGAUGGAAGAGAAUGGACAUCCUCAUGAGCUACCAUAUCUGCGGGUUCGAAAGCUCCCCUCCAGUCGUAGGAAGGACUAUCCAUAUGAUGGCAGGAGCUCAAGCAGCCCUUUUAGACCACAAAGUGGAAAUCACAUGUCGAGGGUGCUGAGCAAGAUAGCAAGAAUCUGAAUUCCGGACAGGGUAGAACCACCGUGGCCAUCGGACACUAACCCCUGGACUGUUCCGUGAGAGAGGAUUACACUUUUAUUUUGUUCAAGCCAAGUUAUUUUGGCUUUUAUUACAGCAGCUGAACUGAUAUCCUGAGCAGUACAAGAUUUAAAUCAGGGAUUCGCUCAGAUUUUGGAACUAUUUUAAGCUGAGCUUUUUAAAACACUUAGAAGUGACUGGAAAGUUACAGACUCUGCUCAAAAAUAACAUUAAGGAAUCUGCACUCCAGGGAAAUGCAAAAUAAUACAGUAGGGGGCAGUGUUUGGUGAAGAAAAGACAAGAAAAGGCAUCUAAAAGUCCUUGGGAACUGACAGUGAGUCCAGCUCCCUAAUCAAGGUCCCAACCAGUCCAAGCUCACCGGAGAGACCUGCCUCCUGCCAGCGACCAACCAAAUCCUGAGAUGACAUCAGCUUGCACCAAUGUAUGGCGACUGUCCCGGAACCAAUCAUGCCGGCCCUUGUACUUCAGCUGCUCUGAUUGGCUGGUGACGAGAAAACGGGGUCACACACAGGUGACGGGACGUGCUCUUGGCGGCAUGGCGGUUAAGGGGCAGCGCUGGAACUCCAGCUUCCGGUGUCCGUGGGGCCCAUCCAGACCCCAAGCGAAGUUCAUCUCUUUCAGUGAGACCCUUCGGUGCCGAGAGCAAUAACGAAUGAGUCAAUCAAUGACCCUUGCAAUCUCAAAACUGCAGCUUUCACGUUCUGGCUCAUGGGGACUUUCUGCAGCGGUCUCCGUGUUCGCACCGGAACAAACAACUAAAAGAAGAUGGCCACGUGACCGACGCGAGGCCAAUGUCUGCAUGUUUACGUAAGUCCACAUAAAUCCUAUACUAGUGGUGUUUGUGAGCAGAACCUUAAAGGGAAAGGGCAACAUAUGUCCCUGACUCUGCCGCGUGGCCCGAGGAAGUCCCUGCAUCGCCCUGAGUACCAGCUCCCUCAAUUCUAAGACGGUAAUAAGACCUGCCUCGCAGGGUCGUUGGGAGAAUUCCGUGAGCUUCUAUGUCCAUGUGGUAGCUUCCUGUGGCUGCUCCAGCGAAUUCACACAGAUUUAGUGGCUUAAGCAACACAGAAUUCUUCUCGUUCUGGAUGUUGGAAGUCCAAACAGUGAUUCCUCUGGAGCUCAAGUCUAGGUGUUGGCAGAACUGCGUUCCUUCUAGAGGCUCUCGGGGUGAAUCUGUCCCCUUGCCUUUUCCAGCCACCACAGACCAGCUGAAUCUCUUGGCUCAUGGCACACCUUCCAUGGUGUCUUCUGAUCUAAUACUAGUGAAUAUUAAAAUAGAAAAAUCUUAAUUAUA